GAUGAACGCUGGCGGCGUGCCUAAUACAUGCAAGUCGAGCGAACGGACGAGAAGCUUGCUUCUCUGAUGUUAGCGGCGGACGGGUGAGUAACACGUGGAUAACCUACCUAUAAGACUGGGAUAACUUCGGGAAACCGGAGCUAAUACCGGAUGAUAUUUUGAACCGCAUGGUUCAAAAGUGAAAGACGGUCUUGCUGUCACUUAUAGAUGGAUCCGCGCUGCAUUAGCUAGUUGGUAAGGUAACGGCUUACCAAGGCAACGAGGCAUAGCCGACCUGAGAGGGUGAUCGGCCACCCUGGAACUGAGACACGGUCCAGACACCUACGGGAGGCAGCAGUAGGGAAUCUUCCGCAAUGGGCGAAAGCCUGACGGAGCAACGCCGCGUGAGUGAUGAUGGUCUUCGGAUCGUAAAACUCUGUUAUUAGGGAAGAACAUAUGUGUAAGUAACUGUGCACAUCUUGACGGUACCUAAUCAGAAAGCCACGGCUAACUACGUG
rnacentral:rRNA from 1 species